rnacentral:rRNA from 1 species
CAGGUCUUGACAUCCUCUGACAAUCCUAGAGAUAGGACUUUCCCCUUCGGGGGACAGAGUGACAGGUGGUGCAUGGUUGUCGUCAGCUCGUGUCGUGAGAUGUUGGGUUAAGUCCCGCAACGAGCGCAACCCUUGUCCUUAGUUGCCAGCAUUUAGUUGGGCACUCUAAGGAGACUGCCGGUGACAAACCGGAGGAAGGUGGGGAUGACGUCAAAUCAUCAUGCCCCUUAUGACCUGGGCUACACACGUGCUACAAUGGAUGGUACAAAGGGUUGCGAGACCGCGAGGUUUAGCCAAUCCCAUAAAACCAUUCUCAGUUCGGAUUGUAGGCUGCAACUCGCCUACAUGAAGCCGGAAUCGCUAGUAAUCGUGGAUCAGCAUGCCACGGUGAAUACGUUCCC